UGUUAUGAGGAGGUUAUGUAUCCUCUCACGACUAUUCAUGUGACGAGCUGGAAAACGAACUGUGACACUAAGAAAGAUGGUCUGUGCUGCUUUGCAGAGAAUUUCAAUCCAAACCCAUGAAGAGUCAAUGCUGGGGGCUAAGUGUCACAUCAGAUGACGUGGACAGAGUGAUGAAGAAGAUUUGCUUGUAAUACAGUGCGCCCAUAGUAGUCUCUCAGCUUUAUUGUGGUACUUUUCAGGCAGUGUAUGUAAAAACACAAACCAAAAGGGGUAAAGGAGUCUUCCUAGUAAAAAGGUUAUGGGACUAUGACUGCAUGAAUAUCUAAGAAGGAAAUUAAAAUAAGGGAGAAAUGGAUACUACAAUUGGCAAGGAUAUUUCUGAGAAGUGGUAAUAUAAAGGAAGAGGUGGUAAUUUAUCAGAGCAUGUCAUAGGAUAAAAAAGAACAAUGAUUUGAAA